UACGUAGGAGACGAGCGUUGUCCGGAGUUACUGGGCGUAAAGGGUGCGCAGGUGGUUCGUCGCGUCGUGCGUGAAAGACCCCGGCUCAACUGGGGAGGGUCGUGCGAUACGGGCGAACUGGAGGCCAGUAGGGGGAUGCGGAAUUCCGGGUGUAGUGGUGGAAUGCGUAGAGAUCCGGAGGAACACCAGCGGCGAAGGCGGCAUCCUGGACUGGUCCUGACACUCAGGAGCGAAAGCGUGGGGAGCGAUCCGG
rnacentral:rRNA from 1 species